GUUUUAAACCCUUUCAGGGGAACCUGUUCCGUCAUCGAUAGUCCACGAAGAACCUUACUUUUUUUAGUUUUUCAGCUUGUAUACCGUCGUCGUCAGGUGACCUCAAUAGAGAAUAGUAGUUGGCUGAUAGAACAGUUUUUCUAUACGUCAGAUCAAGGUGCAGCUUAUGAAAAAGUGGAGAUGGGUUACUGAUAUAAAAUUUUUUAUGGGUUUUGUUUUGAAAUAGAAUGAUAUAAAAGCGGACUUGAGAGUAAAUAUUAUAAGGAAGAGAGAAAUAUUGAAAAUGGUUUUAAAAUGUGC
rnacentral:rRNA from 1 species